GUUUUGAUUAAUUAUGCUCUUAAGUCUGACCCAGAGUUCUGUAAUGAGAUUCUGGGAUGCAUCUUGCUGACAUGUUCAAGAAAUGUGUAUGAGAUAAUUGUGGAUUUUGAUUGGUAUGUAUCACUUCUUGGGGAAAUGUCGAGAAUUCCACACUGUCAGAAGGGGGAGGAAAUAGAGAAUCAGCUUGUGGAUAUAGGUAUGAGAGUCAAAG
rnacentral:misc_RNA from 1 species